rnacentral:rRNA from 1 species
GGUUAACGCUGGCGGCGUGCCUAACACAUGCAAGUCGAACGGUUCUAAGCGCGAGCUUAGGAUAGUGGCGAACGGGUGAGUAAAAGGUAGGAAUCUACCCCUUGGACGGAGAUAGCUACUGGAAACGGUAGGUAAACUUCGAUAAGCCCGAGAGGGGAAAGUGGUGAGACAGCCGAGGGAUGAGCCUACUCUCCAUCAGGCAGUUGGUGAGAUAAAAGCUUACCAAGCCGAUGACGGAUAACCGGUGUGAGAGCAUGAACGGUCACAAGGGCACUGAGAGACGGGCCCUACUCCUACGGGAGGCAGCAGUGGGGAAUCUUGGACAAUGGGCGAAAGCCUGAUCCAGCGACGCCGCGUGGAGGAAGAAGUCCUUCGGGAUGUAAACUUCUGAACUAGCCGAAUAAAAGGCCUGUGGACACACAGGAGAAGAAAGUAGGCUAGGAAAAGUCCCGGCUAACUACGUG